rnacentral:rRNA from 1 species
GAUGAACGCUAGCUACAGGCUUAACACAUGCAAGUCGAGGGGCAGCGCAGUGUAGCAAUACAUGGGCGGCGACCGGCGCACGGGUGCGUAACGCGUAUCCAACCUUCCCGUUACUCAGGGAUAGCCUUCCGAAAGGGAGAUUAAUACCUGAUGGUGUUUGAAUUCCGCAUGUUAUUCAAACUAAAGAUUUAUCGGUAACGGAUGGGGAUGCGUGACAUUAGAUAGUAGGCGGGGUAACGGCCCACCUAGUCUACGAUGUCUAGGGGUUCUGAGAGGAAGGUCCCCCACACUGGAACUGAGACACGGUCCAGACUCCUACGGGAGGCAGCAGUGAGGAAUAUUGGUCAAUGGUCGGAAGACUGAACCAGCCAAGUAGCGUGAAGGAUGAAGGUUCUAUGGAUUGUAAACUUCUUUUAUACGGGAAUAAAACCUCCCACGUGUGGGAGCUUGUAUGUACCGUAUGAAUAAGCAUCGGCUAACUCCGUG